rnacentral:rRNA from 1 species
AGAGUUUGAUCAUGGCUCAGAUUGAACGCUGGCGGUAUGCUUAACACAUGCAAGUCGAACGGUAGCAGCUCUUCGGAGGCUGACGAGUGGCGGACGGGUGAGUAACGCGUAGGAAUCUGCCUAUUAGUGGGGACAACUUGUGGAAACGCAAGCUAAUACCGCAUACGCCCUACGGGGGAAAGGAGGGGAUCUUCGGACCUUUCGCUAAUAGAUGAGCCUGCGUUAGAUUAGCUAGUUGGUGGGGUAAGAGCCUACCAAGGCGACGAUCUAUAGCUGUUCUGAGAGGAAGAUCAGCCACACUGGGACUGAGACACGGCCCAGACUCCUACGGGAGGCAGCAGUGGGGAAUAUUGGACAAUGGGCGAAAGCCUGAUCCAGCAAUACCGCGUGUGUGAAGAAGGCCUUAGGGUUGUAAAGCACUUUCAAUUGGGAGGAAAAACAAGGGUUAAUACCCCUUGUCUUGACAUUACCUUUAGAAGAAGCACCGGCUAACUCCGUG